rnacentral:tRNA from 1 species
AGGAUUUUAGUUUAAUUAAAACAUUUGAUUUGCAAUCAAAAAUUAUUGAAAUAUAUCAAUUUAUCUUA